GUUUCAAUCCCUCAUAGGUACGAUAAAAC
rfam:Geobacillus sp. BCO2 LR69_contig000037, whole genome shotgun sequence.